rnacentral:tRNA from 1 species
GUAGACGCUCUGCGGCCGAUGCUCUGGCGGACUUUUCAUCCGCUAGUCGUGGGUUCGAUCCCCUCCGGGCCCA